rnacentral:tRNA from 1 species
GGAUUGUGGCUCAGUGGCAGAGUACUUGCCUAGCAUGUGUGAGGCACUGGGUUUGAUUCUCAGCACCA